rnacentral:rRNA from 1 species
CAGUCGCCGCGGGAACACGGAGGGUGCAAGCGUUAAUCGGAAUUACUGGGCGUAAAGCGCACGCAGGCGGUCUGUUAAGUCAGAUGUGAAAUCCCCGGGCUCAACCCGGGAACUGCAUUUGAAACUGGCAGGCUUGAGUCUUGUAGAGGGGGGUAGAAUUCCAGGUGUAGCGGUGAAAUGCGUAGAGAUCUGGAGGAAUACCGGUGGCGAAGGCGGCCCCCUGGACAAAGACUGACGCUCAGGUGCGAAAGCGUGGGGAGCAAACAGGAUUAGAUACCCCUGUAGUCCCUGUCUCUUAUAA